rnacentral:lncRNA from 1 species
AUGCACUGUGCGGGAAUGGCGGGUCUCUUCUCUUCCCGAAGUGCAGAGCAGGCAGGCGCUGGCAGCGGGCUGUUUUCGGGACUGCUGACUCACCGGGGCUGUGUGGCGCACAGCCUCGGCCCUGAGCCCGCGGGACGGGUUAAACUGGCGCCACAUGAAGGAACUGAAAGGCAACUGAAUAAGGCUGGCCCGGUCUGCAGUCCAAAUGCAAGGCCCCAUUGGGAUGUGUCAGGAGAGACUGAGAGAUUCCCUGUUCAAGCCAAGGGGUUGCACUGGUGCCUAUCCCUCCUUCAGAGAAGUCUCUUAUGCAAAGAACAGUUUGUCAGGUUCCUACCAAGGUAUCCAGUUUUUCCAGUGGUCAAAGACCUGAAGUCAGCACUGUCUUCUCUCAGAUGCCUCGUGGAUGCUGUGAUGAUCUGCAGGAACUCAGAUCCAAGAUGGCUGGGCAAGGGAUUCACUGAGAACGAGCAAAUCUUGGACAGACUCUGCAAAAUGAGACUGGAAUUGGGUGUCCUACCACUACCACACAUGAGGGCUUCACUUCACUGGGGGAUAGCUGAUUCAGAGCACCAUGAGAUGGAGAAAGAAGAGAACAAAAAACUUUCUUGGCUGCAGCUAUCAGCUAAUUUUUGGUUGCUUUUGAAUGCCAAGGCCAGCAGGAUCCAGGAAUUCAUCUACUGGUGCCAGCAAGAAAGCACUGACCCAAACAAGGGAGCCAGAACUUGGACUGCAGUCCUUGCCAGGGAUCAGCAAGAGGCCAGAGAGACCAUGCUGCUGAGUCAUCACCGCUCCAGCUGCUACAAGCCUUUUCUGGGGACGCGGCUGUUGCUAAGAUUCCUGGGAGCUGACUGA